rnacentral:rRNA from 1 species
AGUGGUUAAUACUAUAUUAACUAAGUUAAUUAAAAUUCGAUGUAGAUAUCUGAUUAUGACAGUAUUUGCUUAUGUCUUGACCAAUUCACGUGCCAGCAGUCGCGGUAAGACGUGUAAGAUAAGUGUUAUUCAUGUUUAACAGGUUUAAAGGGUACCUAGACGGUUAAUCAAACACUGUAAUGUAUUAAUUAACUAGAGUUUGAUAUAAGAAGGAUUGAGUACGGUGAGUGAAGAGAUAAAAUUCUAUUAGACCACUCUGGAACUGGUAAAGGCGAAGGCAACCUUCUAUGUAAAAACUGACGUUAAGGGACGAAGGCUCGUUAAAAAAAACAGGAUUAGAUACCCUGGUAUUUUGGGCAGACAAUGAUGAGUGUCAUAUGCAAGAUAAAUAAUUUUUUGUGUAUAAAUGAAAGUGUAAGCACUCCACCUUAAGAGUAACAUGGCAACAUGGGAACUGAAAUCAUUAGACCGUUUCUGAAACUCGUAGUGAAGUAUGUUGUUUAAUUUGAUAAUCCACAAAUAACCUUACCACAACUUGUAUAACUUUAGCUAAAAGUUACAAGCGUUGCACGGCUGUCUUCAGUCAAUGUUGUGAAACUGUGGUUAGAUCCAUUAAAU